AGGAGUUGGAUUGUUCUGUUUCAACUAGAAAUGAGAUUGUUGCAUCAUAGAAACUAAAUUUGCUGUGGCAGCGAAUACGAGUUAAUUUGACUAGGCUUGUAUCAUCUCAUGUCUCCCAGCAAGAUUCUACAUACACUUGUGCUCUACUUCAGUUCUACUCUAAUUGCUUCCCCUCCCCCUGGUGAAUCCUGCUGUUUGCUGAGUUCUGCAGCACCAACACGAGGCUGUUUGCUGAUUUCUAUAUUACUUUAUCUUGCUAAAGUCUCUCCAAAAUAUGGUUUUUGUCAUAUUUUGAUAAUUCCAUGGGCUGCCUUAAAGACAGGACAGAGGUAGGGCUUAGUCCUUACAAGCACAUUUGCUUAUUCUGUUCUUAUUUUAACGAUGUUUGGGGUGAAAAUAUUCAAUUAUUUGACUGUAUUUCUAAGUAAAUGAAAAAAAAAAGCAGAAAAAAGUUGCAAAAUUUGGACUGUUCCAAUAAUAACCAUUCUUUUCCUAUAUUGCAUACAAAGGCUGUGACCUCAUUCCCACUGACUUAUACAUAAUCGAAGAAAAAGCCACGAGGAUCUGCAAGAAGACUUCCCAGUGGAACAGGGCCAGAGAUGAAGUUGCCCAAGAUGACAUCCCAGCUCCAGAACAGAGCAGCUGAUGGAGCUGUGGGUGACCCUCGUCAGUUGCAGGGAGUGGGACCUGAUGGCCUUUAAAGGUCCCUUCCAACUCAACGAUUCCAUGGAGACAUCCCAUGGAAGCCUUUGCUUCCAUGAUUUUGGAGUUCCAACCUGCUGGCAAGCAGCUUUCAAGAACAAAGAAGCGCUGUCCCACGGAGCUGAGAUACCAUCAGUUGGCUCUUGGUGUGGCGAAGGCUCCCACUCAGCUCGCAGUUGCGUUAUAGUCAGUUAUGCUUCAGCUGAAUGCUCUUUCACUGGGGAUGAUAUAAGAGCCAAAAGAUUGCAACGGAGAUGGAUGAGCCACCAAACUCAGUGAGAAUCGUCUUGCUGUGAUUUACUUUAA